rnacentral:rRNA from 1 species
UGUGGCUUAAGCCCUGGUCUUGUCUGAUCUCAGAAGCUAAGCAGAUCUGGUUAGUCCCUGGAUGGGAGACCGACCGGGGCCACCAGGUGCUGUCU